GUAACGAGCGCAACCCUUGUCCUUAGUUACCAGCACGUUAUGGUGGGCACUCUAAGGAGACUGCCGGUGACAAACCGGAGGAAGGUGGGGAUGACGUCAAGUCAUCAUGGCCCUUACGGCCAGGGCUACACACGUGCUACAAUGGGGGGUACAAAGGGUUGCCAAGCCGCGAGGUGGAGCUAAUCCCAUAAAACCUCUCGUAGUCCGGAUUGGAGUCUGCAACUCGACUCCAUGAAGUCGGAAUCGCUAGUAAUCGUGGAUCAGAACGCCACGGUGAAUACGUUCCCGGGCCUU
rnacentral:rRNA from 1 species